AAAACCCGCUGCUGCAUCUAUGGGCGGGGCUUCUCAUUUGGCCCUGCCUCCUGAGUGACUGCGUGACAACGUCACUUCCGGGGUUCAGAUUCCGGGUCUAGUUUGGCAAAAGUUGUGUCCGAGAGACAGAAGGCAGUUCCAGCCAAGGUGACAUGGUCAAGCAAGUGUGUGUAUGUCUGGCUGUAUAAGCACAUUGUAUAUAGGCCUGAAGAGGCUGGAGGAGGGCGUCUGGUCACCACAACUGGCACUGCAGCCUUCAACCAAGUGUGUUCUCCAGGACCAGCAACCUCUGUGAGCCAGCUCUCUCCAUCCCGCGCCACCUUUUAUCUUUUGAGACUGAGUCACUCACUAUAUGUGAAGCUAAUUGAUUCUGCUUCAAUGGCUGGCCAACAAACUCUGGGGUUCCUUUUGUCCCUGCCUGCUCUUGCAAUAAUAGGUUACAAUGCAUCGCGCUCCUACCCAGUCUUCAUGCUUGAAUAGUAGAUACUUUCCCAGCCAGGCCAUUUCUCCAGCCCCCACUUAUUUAUCUAAUUACCAGUGACAUCUUUUAAAUUAAGUAUAUACAUGAUGCAUGUAUGUGCACUGCAUGUAUGCCUGGUCUCUGCAGAAGCCAGAAGGCAUUAGCUAUUCUGGAACUAGAGUUAUGAGUGGUUAUGCGCCACUGUGUGGGUGCCGGAAAAUAAACCUGGAUCCUCUGCGAGAGCAGAAAAUACUCUUCACCACCAA